UACGGGGGGGGCAAGCGUUGUUCGGAAUUACUGGGCGUAAAGGGCUCGUAGGCGGCCAACUAAGUCAGACGUGAAAUCCCUCGGCUUAACCGGGGAACUGCAUCUGAUACUGGAUGGCUUGAGUUCGGGAGAGGGAUGCGGAAUUCCUGGUGUAGCGGUGAAAUGCGCAGAUAUCAGGAGGAACACCGAUUGCGAAGGCAGCUCGCUGGAACGUUACUGACGCUGAGACGCGAAAGCGUGGGGAGCAAACAGG
rnacentral:rRNA from 1 species